rnacentral:rRNA from 1 species
GACGAACGCUGGCGGCGUGCUUAACACAUGCAGGUCGAACGGAAAGGCCCUGCUUUUGUGGGGUGCUCGAGUGGCGAACGGGUGAGUAACACGUGAGUAACCUGCCCUUGACUUUGGGAUAACUUCAGGAAACUGGGGCUAAUACCGGAUAGGAGCUCCUGCUGCAUGGUGGGGGUUGGAAAGUUUCGGCGGUUGGGGAUGGACUCGCGGCUUAUCAGCUUGUUGGUGGGGUAGUGGCUUACCAAGGCUUUGACGGGUAGCCGGCCUGAGAGGGUGACCGGCCACAUUGGGACUGAGAUACGGCCCAGACUCCUACGGGAGGCAGCAGUGGGGAAUAUUGCACAAUGGGCGGAAGCCUGAUGCAGCAACGCCGCGUGCGGGAUGACGGCCUUCGGGUUGUAAACCUCUUUCGCCUGUGACGAAGCGUGAGUGACGGUAAUGGGUAAAGAAGCACCGGCUAACUACGUG